AUAGUCGUAUAGGGAGAGGGAGUGACAGGAGUGUGAUCGAGAUUAUUGGUGAAAACAGUACACCAGCAGUAAUGUCGGAGCAUACUGCUGCUGAUGUUUUAUGUCAACAAUCGAUAGAGAUACGAAGGCCUCUCAAUAUCGUUAAUGACCAUC
rnacentral:snRNA from 1 species